rnacentral:rRNA from 1 species
GACGAACGCUGGCGGCGUGCCUAAUACAUGCAAGUAGAACGCACAGUUUAUACCGUAGCUUGCUACACCAUAGACUGUGAGUUGCGAACGGGUGAGUAACGCGUAGGUAACCUGCCUGGUAGCGGGGGAUAACUAUUGGAAACGAUAGCUAAUACCGCAUAAUAUUAAUUAUUGCAUGAUAAUUAAUUGAAAGGUGCAAUUGCACCACUACCAGAUGGACCUGCGUUGUAUUAGCUAGUAGGUGAGGUAACGGCUCACCUAGGCGACGAUACAUAGCCGACCUGGGAGGGUGAUCCGCCACACUGGGACUGAGACACGGCCCAGACUCCUACGGGAGGCAGCCGUAGGGAAUCUUCGGCAAUGGACGAAAGUCUGACCGAGCAACGCCGCGUGAGUGAAGAAGGUUUUCGGAUCGUAAAGCUCUGUUGUAAGAGAAGAACGGGUGUGAGAGUGGAAAGUUCACACUGUGACGGUAUCUUACCAGAAAGGGACGGCUAACUACGUG